ACAGGAAGCAGCUUGCUGCUUCGCUGACGAGUGGCGGACGGGUGAGUAAUGUCUGGGGAUCUGCCUGAUGGAGGGGGAUAACUACUGGAAACGGUAGCUAAUACCGCAUAACGUCGCAAGACCAAAGAGGGGGACCUUCGGGCCUCUUGCCAUCAGAUGAACCCAGAUGGGAUUAGCUAGUAGGUGGGGUAACGGCUCACCUAGGCGACGAUCCCUAGCUGGUCUGAGAGGAUGACCAGCCACACUGGAACUGAGACACGGUCCAGACUCCUACGGGAGGCAGCAGUGGGGAAUAUUGCACAAUGGGCGCAAGCCUGAUGCAGCCAUGCCGCGUGUAUGAAGAAGGCCUUCGGUUGUCAGUACUUCAGCGGGAGGAAGCAUUCGGUAUACCGGUCAUGCGUUCCGAGAGAAGCCCGGUACUCGGCAGCAGCGGAUCGAGGU
rnacentral:rRNA from 1 species